rnacentral:lncRNA from 1 species
GUUUUGUAUUGUUUUUAUAGAGCUGCCCUCACAUGCUUCAGCAACAUUAGAUGUUGGAAUGAUUGGUUAUCAGACUUAGCACAUUUUCAAAUCUGUAUAACAGAUGCUAUCUUUUUUGUCAUUAGGUAAGUUCACCUGAAACCCUCAGGCAAGCCGUUCAGAACUAAUGCCUGUUGUAAUUCCCUUAUUUCUUAUGUGAUUUAAAUUGUGAAAAGCCCAUAUUUCUUUUGAAAAAUCAUUGCUUGUCUUUUGUCUCUGAUGUUAGCAUGUUUUCAGGCAAUGUUUUUGAAGUUAAAUAUAUUUGUUGU